rnacentral:tRNA from 1 species
GCAGUCGUGGCCGAGUGGUUAAGGCGAUGUACUCGAAAUCCAUUGGGGUUUCGCCGCACAGGUUCGAAUCCUGUCGGCUGCG